AACGCACAUUGCGCCCCUCGGUAUUCCGUGGGGCAUGCCUGUUCGAGCGUCAUUUACACCCUCAAGCUCUGCUUGGUGUUGGGCGUCUGUCCCGCUUCGUGCGUGGACUCGCCCCAAAGUCAUUGGCGGCGAUCGUGCCAGCUUCUCGCGCAGCAUACGCGCUCCGGAGGCAAGUCGAUCAGCAUCCACAAAGUACUUUCCACAGUUUGACCUCGGAUCAGGUAGGGAUACCCGCUGAACUUAA
rnacentral:misc_RNA from 1 species